CGUGUAGGCGGCCAGGUAGGUCCGUUGUGAAAACUCGAGGCUCAACCUCGAGACGUCGAUGGAAACCAUCUGGCUAGAGUCCGGAAGAGGAGAGUGGAAUUCCUGGUGUAGCGGUGAAAUGCGCAGAUAUCAGGAAGAACACCUAUGGCGAAGGCAGCUCUCUGGGACGGUACUGACGCUGAGCGCGAAAGCGUGGGAGCGAACA
rnacentral:rRNA from 1 species